UGGCUCUGGUUGACAGCUGAAAUUGAGAUUAAUUGUGCUAAAUUAAGUGAGUGAGAAAUUACGAAAUUAUUGCAGCGCGUGUGUUGGUUGCAGUUAGAAAUCGCAAUCAGUUUGCCUGCAUCAGCUGUAGCCUGGAACGCCGAUCUCCCAACCCAGAGGGUCCUACAAAUUGUCUUGGGUCUGGGUCUUGGAUCUUGGAUCUUGUAUCUUGGAACUUGGAACUUCUCGGUGAAAAUUACAGGUGUGUGUUGUUGUGGCUGAGCUGCGGUUUGGGCGGUGCGAAAGGUGUGAAGCCGAAUGGCAAUGGAAGGGAAUGGAAUGGAGAUCCCAGGGAAACCAUCGGAUGGCUGCUUCUGCAAUUGGUCCACGCCCAGUCGGAGCUGCUGCGGCUGCUGAUGACUGAUGAUAGAGUUGAUUGAAAGUUAACAGGUUGAAAAGGGAUUGCACUUAAAUGUGCUGCAGAAUGCCUUCAGAUAUCCGGUAUUCAAAGAAGCAUUCACGAAACCAUUUAAAAAGGGUCCCUUAGAGGCUGAUGGCAGGGACCUAAAACCAGGCAGUAGAUGAUGGAAAUAUUCCAAGACUCCGAACUCCGAACCAGGAACUGCAUUCCGAAAAACACCCACUA